UGCAAUAGAUUUUGUCCACAUGGCAAAUAUAUACAUAUAUAUAUAUAUAUUUCAAUUCUUGAGUGUCUCUUCAGCCAAUCCCACAGCUCCAUCUGUCUUUCCCCUGGCACCCAACUGUGGGCAGAAAAGUUCCUCCCAAGUAGCUCUAGGCUGCCUGAUUUCAGGUUACUUCCCUGAGCCUGUGAUGGUGACAUGGAAUUCAGGGGCCAUCUCCAGUGGAAUUCAGAUCUAUCCCUCCGUCCUCCAGUCCUCAGGACUCUACACCUUGAGCAGUCAGUUGACAGUCCCUGCAGAUACUUGGCCCAGCCAAUCAUACAUCUGCAAUGUGGUCCACAAAGCCACAUCCACAAAGAUUAACAAGAAAAUUGAGGGCCCCAGUUCCACACCAAAGCCCACAGAAUGUACAUGCUGCAAAUGCUCAGCAUGUGAUGUUGGUGGACUUUCUGUAUUCAUCUUCCCCCCAAAUCCUAAGGAUACCCUCAAACUCUCAGGAUCACCUAAAAUCACCUGUAUGGUGGUUGAUGUGAGUGAUGCAUCAGAUGUUAAAAUUGCCUGGUUCAAAAAUAAUAAGGAAAUUGACAGUCCUAAACCAACACAGAAGGAACAAAACAAUGGGACCAUUCAGGUGAUCAGCACUCUCUCUGUAGUCCACCAAGAAUGGCUGAAAGGCACAGUGUAUACCUGUAAAGUUGAUACCAAAGAAUUACCAUUUCCUGAAACAAGGACCAUCUCCCACACUUCAGGUGACAGAAAGAUGCCUGAUAUGUAUGUCUUUGCCCCACAUCCUGAUGAGUUGAAGCAUAAGGAUACUGUUAGUCUUACCUGCUUCGUAAAAAAUUUCUUCCCUCAAGACAUUGUUGUUGAAUGGCAAUGCAAUGACCAUCCAGAGCCUGAAGAAAACUAUUAUACCACCCCAGCAAUGAAGGAAAAGGACACCUUCUUUGUCUACAGCAAACUCACUCUGAAUAAAGCAAAAUGGCAAGAGAAUAACUCCUAUACCUGCAUGGUACUGCAUGAGGGCUUUCCAAACCAAUAUUCCCAGAGGACAAUCUCUGCAUCCCCGGAAUUGAUACCAGAUGAAAACUGUGCUGAGACCAGGGAUGGAGAGCUGGAUGGGUUGUGGACCACAAUAUCUAUCUUCAUCACUCUCUUCCUCCUCAGUGUGUGCUACAGUGCCACUGUCACUCUAUUCAAGGUAAAGUGGAUCUUUUCCUCUGUGAUGGAGUUAAAGCAGCCAAUGAUCCCUGAUUAUAGGAACAUGAUGAGUCAAGGGGCCUAAAAGACCAUCCUCUACUCCUCCUUGGAGCUUACUUCCAGAGAUAAAUGAAGUGAGAGCACUCACCAUGAUCUCCUCAAAAUAACAGAAGUAUCUCCAUAUUUCAAAUCCCCAGCUGCUCCCUGAACACAAACAUUCAUAAAGAUUCUCAAAAAGAUUUCCCCCUUCCCCAAGUCUAGCUCAGGAAAAUGGAAGCUGCAUCUAACAAAGGCAUCAUUCUCCCAUGGGCCUGUAAUAUUCUCUCUAAAAUGUAAUAUUCUCUUGUUGGGGUUUUCUUGGGGUUUCUGGAGGCAGCCUUCGUUUCAGUUCAGUAAUCAUCACAAGUGCAGCUAGGGAUUAAAGUCCAAAUCUUUUAUUCUCUCUUUCCAAGUCUUGUCUCCUUCACUUGGGGCUUGGCUAGAUUUUUUAGAGAACUUCCAGAUCUUGGUUUCAGUGGAGAAGUGAAGGAGGAGAGCCUGACACCACUUCUCUUGUCUUCCCUCGUUCUGAUUCUGGCUAAGCUUGUCCGAGCUUAUAUGCUCUCUUAUCAAAGGUGUGAAUCUUGUAGAACUAUACUAAGUACUAAGUACAUGUACUGAACUAGAGGACUGUUAAGCAAUGUACUAAAUAACCAUUGCCUCUAUCAAUUCCA